CUAUGAGGGAUUGCUUCUGCUUCAAAUUUGGCCAGAGUUUUGAAAAAGGGAAACCUUGCCUGAAGAAUGGUCUACGGCAGGAAAUCAUCACCUGUCUGAGAGCAAGAGAGGAAAGGGGAACAAGAAGAAGAGGGGGAAAGAGAGAAGAGAAAAAUGGAGUGAGCUGAUCCAAGUACCAGAAAGAAGCCCUGUCAGAAGGAAGAAACGAAGUUUCCAUUUCCAUGCUCCAUCCAUCCGGUAUGCUACCAACUUCAAGUGACAAGUUGUCCUUCCUAUGAGAUCAUCAGGAUGUCUGCUGAACUCAUUAUGGUUUGACAGACAGUUAUACUGAAUUCUCAUUCUAACACUACUACAGAACCAUGAGUUGAAAAAUAUUUUGUAAUCUGUUGUGAUUUUAACUGUCAUGGACUAUGCUUUUCUAUUUGUGCAGCUAAUCCAAACACAAUUCCUAAUUCACCAUUCUCCCUCUUAGGGACCUAGGAAAUACAUACAAAAAGCCAGGAUGAAAAAGAAUAUAGUCUGUGAUGUUUUGUUCAGAAGACCACUGGCAGGCUCAAAGUGUCUUUUUCUAUCUCAAGAUUAACAACAACAAUUAUCAUUCAGUGUCUUUCAGUUUGUAAUUCCCCAGAGUAUGAGCCAAUAUCCUUCUUAGUCUAUAAAUACCCUUCACAGCAUCAGAUAAUGAAUAAUGUCUGUUGAACCAGGGGGUGCCCUCUUGAAGAGAUGUUAGUUCUGCUUUCUCCUCACUCACUGCUUUUGUUGCUGUGGUUGUAUUACUAGGAAGGGGAAAUCUGUUCACCUCUGUGGAUUCCAUACCAGCAGCAACUGUGGAGAAAGGAAAUAUGUGAUACUAAUGGAAACCUGUUUUUAAUGUUUUCCUUGCAUUUCACUGAAGUAGUAAUAGCUAGCACUUGUUGAAUACUUACUGCCAGUCAAAUAGUGUUAAAGGUUUCCAGGCAUUGUCUCAAUUCA
ensembl:lncRNA